CCUACGGGAGGCAGCAGUGAGGAAUAUUGGUCAAUGGCCGUAAGGCUGAACCAGCCAAGUCGCGUGAAGGAAGAAGGAUCUAUGGUUUGUAAACUUCUUUUAUAGGGGAAUAAAGGUAUCCACGUGUGGAUAUUUGCAUGUACCCUAUGAAUAAGCAUCGGCUAACUCCGUGCCAGCAGCCGCGGUAAUACGGAGGAUGCGAGCGGUAUCCGGAUUUAUUUGGUUUAAAGGGUGCGUAGGGUGGUUUUUAAGUCAGCGGUGAAAGUUUCGGGCUCAACCAUAAAAUUGCCGUUGAAACUGGAAGACUUGAGUGUGUGGGAGGAAGGCGGAAUGCGUGGUGUAGGGGGGAAAUGCGUAGAUAUCACGAAGAACUCCGGUUGCGAAGGCAGCUUACUAGGCCAUAACUGACACUGAGGAACGAAAGCGUGGGGAUCAAACAGGAUUAGAUACCCGAGUAGUC
rnacentral:rRNA from 1 species